rfam:Schistocephalus solidus strain NST_G2 genome assembly, scaffold: SSLN_contig0003051
GAGCCCGUAGCUCAAUGGUAGAGCGUUCGACUCAAAUACCAAAGGUCGCGGGUUCAAAAACAACGAGCCCGUGGCUCA